rnacentral:misc_RNA from 1 species
AAGUCGUAACAAGGUUUCCGUGGGUGAACCUGCGGAAGGAUCAUUACAAGUGAGGCUACCGAACGCUGGAAACAGCGGUUAGGAGCUUACACCCACCCGUGUUUACAUACUAUUGUUGCUUUGGCGGGCCGUGGCCUCCACUGACGGCUCUGCUGCGUGUGUGCCGCCAGACGGCACCAAAGCUCAUGAAUGUUAGUGAUGUCUGAGUACUAUCUAAUAGUUAAAA